AGUGGGGAAUAUUGGACAAUGGGCGAAAGCCUGAUCCAGCGACGCCGCGUGUGUGAAGAAGGCCUGCGGGUUGUAAAGCACUUUCGAUGGGAACGAAAUGUGCCGGGCUAAUACCCCGGCAAGCUGACGUUACUCAAUGAAGAAGCACCGGCUAACUCUGUGCCAGCAGCCGCGGUAAUACAGAGGGUGCGAGCGUUAAUCGGAAUUACUGGGCGUAAAGCGCACGUAGGUGGCGACGUAAGUCGGGUGUGAAAGCCCCGGGCUCAACCUGGGAAUUGCAUUCGAGACUGCAUUGCUGGAGUACGGAAGAGGAAGGCGGAAUUCCCGGUGUAGCGGUGAAAUGCGUAGAUAUCGGGAGGAACAUCAGUGGCGAAGGCGGCCUUCUGGUCCAGUACUGACACUCAAGUGCGAAAGCGUGGGGAGCAAA
rnacentral:rRNA from 1 species